rnacentral:pre_miRNA from 1 species
UGGACAAAUUACUGUAUUUGACUGUAUUCACGGCAUGAAAUAAGGGAUUACAUUGUUUUAAAAUGGAAAGUGAAUCAACUAACAUAAUAGACACCU